GGAAAUGAAUCUCCUCCAUCCCACGCUGCUCUCGUCAAAUCCUCUUUUUGAUGGAGGAAUAGCGAAAAUCAGAUACCUCGUCGCCGUCAUCUUGCUUCACAAAAGCCCAACGCAUGCACAUUCUCAUCCAAACGACUAAACCCCCUUUGGGUUUCGUCAACAACUAUAAAAGCCCAAGCUUUUCAUUCAUUACUGGAAUCUCACAAACCAAGGAAUUUCCCAUGUUCCCGUUUCCAGUAACUGUAAUCGCUUUAAAUUGGGUUUCUGGUUUUUUGUUGUAAUUGAUAUUCAGUUUUGCUAGGUUAUUGAAUUCGUAAUACGUUUUAGUCAAAAUUCAUGAUACCUCAUUCUCUUUCUUGCGUAUCAUCGUUCCUUAGGUUGUUCACGGCGACGUCAUGAUGAUUCAUAGUCCUCUGUGAACUCAAUCCUCCAUUGGCGUGCUGUCUACUCUUUUCACGAGUUUGAUUAUUCUGAAUCUCAUUGGAAAGAAAAUCAUUUGGGAUUAGUUUGUAAUUGGCUACUAACGAGUACGGAUCACUGCGAGAUUCUUUGUAGAACAGAAUUUCCUUAAUCCUGCGGCAAAUUUUGAUUUGUUCGCAAUUGCUUGCUUGGUUUCGGAAUUCAAAGAACCAAAUCAAAGUGGUUUUGGUGAUACUGUGUGGGGAGUUUCUUCUAGCUCCAAUGUCAGGCGGAUCACCAGUAGGGGGAGGUGGAUUUAUGAGACAGAGACACAGCCAAGGGUAUUCAAGCAGUGGUGAUGAGCUUGACGACGAUGCAUGCUCGAGGAUGCGUCCUUCUUCACCUCCAAGUCCUAGAGCAAGGACGUGGAUCGAAAUUCUUGAAAAUUUUCUUUGGCUAGCUUCGGCGGCUUUCAUCAUAUAUUUUGGUGAUCGGCGUUCCAAUUUGAUAUAUCUCCUCUGCCACGACGACAGGAUCAGAAGACUGCCUCUAUAUGUUGGGAUGAUAGGUGUUGGUCUGAAUGCUCUGAUUUUCAUUUAUACAAGCAUCUUGGCGUGGAGUGUCCGAAGACUUGAUGAAAAAUGGGGACUGAAAAAGUGGGAAGUAACGAGUGUCACCUUUUUGCCAUUUGUAACCGUAUUUGGACUCUUCUCUUUUUGCUUGUUCUCCUUUGCCCUGUGGCCAAUUUGGAGUUUCUUGACACUUCCUCUCCUGUUUACCCUUUUCAUGGCUUCCAUGGUAAUAAUCCCAUAUCUCGUAUUUGGGUUGUUUCGGCCGCAGUAUGACGAGCAGCUGCGUACAGAUUAACCUCGUAUGAUUCAAGCGAGGAAUAUUACUGACUUAUGUGAAGAGUUUCUAACCCAAAAGUCGAUGAUCUGUAGCCACGCCUUUGUAGAUUGAAGUUCGUGUGAGAAAUGUGCGGUGUAGAUGCCAUGUUUUUGAAGCCGGUGUCAACUGCUAUCAGUGAGAGUUCAAAAUCUUUUUAUCCUGCAAGCACAUUGCUUAAGAAUUAUAGCAUGCCAGUUGAUCGUAGUUGCUGGACUUCUUGACACACAGGAUUUAGGUGCAUCAGUAGGUGACAAGAUGGUAUAACGUGGCAGUUUUGCAAGAUUAAUUUGCGUAAUGCUAAUGGCAGUUUUGCUCAUUGAUGCAUCUCUUCAAGUUCUUUUCUUUUUCUUCAUCUUUUUUUGGCCAACGAAUAUCUUCAAGUCUUUAAUAGUAUUCUGUUAUAUGCUAACUAGAUAAUAUUUGGGGAAGCUGAGACAAAAAUGGUUAUCUGUUCUCUUUAUAUAUCACAGUUUGCAUCAUUUAUUGUAAUUACAACGAUGGAUGGCAGCGCAAAUUUUGAUCCCAAAUUAUGAAGCAAAAAGAUCUGUUCCCAACUCCUCAAUUGCUCGCCAAUCCAUAUUGCGUGCGCCUUCUGCAAAAAAAAAAAAAAAAAAAAAACUGUAACUUGCUCGAUGGCAAAUGUUUUAAUUUCUUUUGGGCAAGCAGCUACAAGUCAACAACUCAUAAAUCACCACCUACCCACAAAAGAAAGAUUCGGGCCUACACUUGUUUGCCUCUGGAAUAAGGAUGUAAGAAAAUUUUCAUUUCCACGCCUAACAAUUUGGCCACCUGCUUCCCACGUUUGUUUUGGACUAGGUUCAUGUCUCUCAAAUACUUGAGGUACAUGUUCCUUUGCUUCUUUCCCAAACAUAAUAUUGUGAUUAACCAGCUCUUGUUGAUAUCCCACAUGUAUAAUCAGUUUAGUGUAAUGCAGCUGUACUUCUCAUUCAAAAAAGGGGGGCGAAAAAAAGGGGGGGGGGGAGAGCAACUUGCUUGACUUCUCUUUUCUUGGUUGAAAUAAGAAAAGGACAAUGGUCCUUUGUCUCUUAUUGAAGUCAAAAGGCUCGAUUGCAACGUGUCGAGAGGGAGAAAAGUAAUGACGGGUUGACGACGAGCAUUUGAAGCUUUACACAUUUGUCCCAUUUAUUGGAUCUUUUAUAGUUUUGUAUUUAUAAAAGAAAAUUUGAAGGAUUAUUUGCUUUGAAGAAGAUUAAAAAGUAGAUAAAUUUAUAAGA